CAACCCCUACUGAUUUGCAUGUGCCCAGAGCACAGCCCACUGCCCUGAGCAGUUCUUGAAAGCUGCUCACAUCCUGGGCAGUAGUCAAUCCUAGUCAGCACACAGCAUGGACAUGAAGGUCCCUGCUCAGUUCCUGGGUCUCCUGAUGCUCUGGAUUACAGUUCCACUUAGCAAUCAAGCUGAAAUUAUCAAGAGAAACACUGAAUACAAACAACACUGUUGGCACUGGUAUCCAGCCAUUCUGUGCUCUCCUGCAAGGUACACUGAAGGUGUCCAUUGUGAUGUCCAGUUGACUCAGUCACCAUCCCUGCCUGCAUCUCUGGGAGAGAGAGUCACCAUCACUUGCAAAGCCAGUCAGAAAGUGUCCAGAAUUCAGGAUCAUCAAUAGCAUCCCUGAGAGCAUGUUACAAAUACAAUAUUACAAAACCACUUCACAUCUACUGAGUGUGAAUCUGCCUUUCAG